CCCCAAACUAAAAAACACAAGAAUGCUAGGUGGGAUGACCUGCACCAUGUUUCCUUUGCAGGAUGUCAUGUUUGGCCUCAAGUUUCCCUCACCUAGAAGAGAAGUUAUGGGUACCAAAAAGAUUUGCAGGAUGACAUAUUUAAGUAUGCACCGAGCUAGUGACCUUUAUGGUCUACCAUGAAGAGUAGUCUAGGGCCACGAAGGAACAAGAAGCGACAAGGAAUAAGAGAAGAAAAGAAGGAUGGAUGGUGGUGCAGACAGAGGGACGGACAUGCUAUAAGCACAGCGAUGCAUUUAUAGGACCGUGCAUUGCAGCAACAUGUGCUGAACUUUGCAUUUCUUUUGAGAAGUGGGAUGACGGAUUUUGCUCGGGUGAUAAAUGCACUUGUACGAAGCAAUGUGCUGAGUCCAUGCUUUAAUGGGUUUGUAAUUCACCACAGUUGUUGCUAUCUGAAUGUAAUAAGCGACUCCAAUUCUACUGAAUUGCACAACAUGUUUACUAAUCAAAGCUUCCUUCUUCCAUUUUAUAAUUUUUA